UACGUAGGGUGCAAGCGUUGUCCGGAAUACUGGGCGUAAAGCGUGCGCAGGCGGUUGUGCAAGACCGAUGUGAAAUCCCCCGGGCUUAACCUGGGAAUGGCAUUGGUGACUGCACGGCUAGAGUGUGUCAGAGGGGGGUAGAAUUCCACGUGUAGCAGUGAAAUGCGUAGAGAUGUGGAGGAAUACCGAUGGCGAAGGCAGCCCCCUGGGAUAACGACUGACGCUCAUGCACGAAAGCGUGGGGAGCAAACAGG
rnacentral:rRNA from 1 species